UACGUAGGGUGCAAGCGUUAAUCGGAAUUACUGGGCGUAAAGCGUACGCAGGCGGCUAUGUAAGACAGGUGUGAAAUCCCCGGGCCUAACCUGGGAACUGCAUUUUGUGACUGCAUAGCUAGAGUCCGUCAGAGGGGGGGUGGAAUUCCACGUGUAGCAGUGAAAUGCGUAGAGAUGUGGAGGAAUACCGAUGGCGAAGGCAGCCCCCUGGGAUAACACUGACGCUCAUGCACGAAAGCGUGGGGGAGCAAACAGG
rnacentral:rRNA from 1 species